rnacentral:rRNA from 1 species
GACGGGGCCCGCACAAGCAGCGGAGCGUGUGGUUUAAUUCGAUGCAACACGAAGAACCUUACCAGGGCUUGACAUGUUAGAAGUAGGAACCCGAAAGGGGGACGACCAGUAUCCAGUCUGGAGCUAACACAGGUGCUGCAUGGCUGUCGUCAGCUCGUGCCGUGAGGUGUAUGGUUAAGUCCCACAACGAGCGCAACCCUCGUCGCUAGUUGCUAACCCGCAAGGGUGCACCCUAGCGAUACUGCCAGCUAAAAGUUGGAGGAAGGAGGGGAUGACGUCAAAUCCUCAUGGCCUUUAUGUCCAGGGCUACACACAUGCGACAAUGGUCGGUACAACGGGCCGCAACACCGCGAGGUGAAGCCAAUCCCUAAAAACCGACCUCAGUUCAGAUUGCAGGCUGCAAUUCGCCUGCAUGAAGAUGGAGUUGCUAGUAACCGCGGGUCAGCUACACCGCGGUGAAUAUGUUCCCGGGCCUU